rnacentral:rRNA from 1 species
AGCUAUCCGCCAGAGAACUACAAGUGAAAAACUUGAAACUCAAAGGACUUGACGGUGUCCCAUAUCGGCCUAGAGGAGCCUGUCCUAUAAUCGAUACCCCCCGUUCCACCCAACCUUAGCUAGCACAUAACAGCCUAUAUACCGCCGUCGAUCAGCCUACCCUAUGAAGGUUUAACAGUAGACACAAAAGCCUUAACCACUAAUACGUCAGGUCAAGGUGUAGCAAAUGCUAAGGAAGAGAUUGGCUACAUUUUUUAUUUUAAAAAAUACGAAAAGCACCAUGAAACCGUGCUUGAAGGUGAAUUUAGUAGUAAAAUAAAUAAGAGAGUUUAUUUUAACAACGCUCUGG